AAUAACGAAUCAUAAGAAGUCAGCAGAGGUCGUAGUAGUGUAGAAAUUUCUGUAAUGGAAAUGGAGCGAAGGAC
rnacentral:ncRNA from 1 species